rnacentral:tRNA from 1 species
GAGGGUGUAGCUCAGUAGUAGAGAGCACUUGCCUAACAUUGAAAGACCCUGAGUUCUGUCCUCAGCACCCACA